UCUGGGCCUGAAAGGCUCUGGGCCUGGAGCAGAGAUACCUGCAGGCUCAGCUGCAGUGACCUACAUCGGCUCUCCCCUAGGCCUGGGCUGUGGGGGCUGAAGUUUCCAGAGAGCAGCUUGGGGAUCAGGCACAGGGCCUUGGUGGACAGAUCAGAAGAUUCUCCUCCCACAAAUGCAGAAGUUUUGAGCAGUGAGCCCCUUCAGUAGGACGGAGAGACCCCUGUCAGGGAUCUGAAAGUGGGUUUUUGCUUUUGUUUGAGUCUCUUCAUUCUCGAUAAACGCAUCCCAGCCAGCUG